UAGAAUGUUGUUUGUGACUGCGCAUGUUCAUAGUUAGUCCUUUCGUUCUCAAUCCUGCGGUAUUCGGACGCCGCUUCUGGCGGGAAAUUGCUUCUAUUGGGCUCUGCUGUUGAGACCGUGCGCCGAGGAACGUCCGAAUUAAAGGCUCACAUUGCAAGGCAAGGUGGUUUUUCCUCAGCAGAAACGCCAUUGCUUUUCAAAGCAAGAUCUUGACAGCAGCGGCAUCAGACUCAUCAGGAUCCAGGUAAUUACAAGCCAGACCAAUUUAAGCUCCCCAAAUGCCUAUUGGAUAAGAAUUCUAAGAAUGAAAUGGCAUGUGAGAAAUAUGAGAAGACUGAAAUAAAGAAAAGUUGCAGGAUUUCAACUCCAAAGAUGGAAGCCACCACAUCUUCCAAGGCAGAAUCUACUCUGCAAAACUCAUCCAUAGAUGUUCAUGCAGAAAAUUACCAGCGACACCACAAGAGCACUUCUGAUACAGUGAUUCCCCAUGUUGAUAUGGAAAGCAGUGAGGAGAGAGAGAGUGAUGAAGAUACCACAUCAGGCCCGGAUGACUUUUCAGGAUUGUCACCGUAUGAAAGGAAGAGACUGAAGAACAUAUCAGAAAAUGCAAACUUUUUUGCUUCUCUUCAGUUGUCUGAGUCAGCUGCAAGGCUCCGUAAAAUGAUAAAGAAGAGACAACCUCCUGAAUCCAAACGAAAGAAGCCUAAGAAGAGAGAAAACGGAAUUGGAUGUAGAAGGUCAAUGCGAUUACUAAAUGUAGAUCCUUCAGGAAUUUCAUUACCAGCAACUCCAACCCAGCCAGCAUUAGUAGCAGAUGAAAAUCCUUUAUUACCUCCUGGACCUUUAGAAAUGACUCCUGAAAAUCGAGAUGACAACAGUGAACUAUUUAAAGGAUUUCUACAUACUUGGGCAGAAGUGAGCAAGACUACUAGUAAGAACACAAAGAAGGAGUUACCUAGCAUUAAAAGCUAUAAAGCCAAUUUGAGUGGCAUGGUCAUUAGUGAAGAUACUGUUUAUAAAGUUACUAAAGGUCCAAUACUCUCCAUGGCUCUCCACCCAUCAGAAAUUAAAACUUUGGUGGCAGCUGGGGCCAAAUCUGGGCAAGUUGGACUUUGGGAUUUGACUCACCAACCUAAAGAAGAUGGAACUUAUGUUUUUCAGCCCCAUAGUCAGCCAGUUAGCUGUCUUUACUUCUCACCUACCAACCCAGCUCACAUACUGUCACUGAGCUAUGAUAGCACGUUACGUUGUGGAGACUUUUCCACGGCUGUUUUUGAUGAGGUAUAUAGAAAUGAAAGAAGUAGCUUUUCCUCCUUUGACUUCUUGACAGAAGAUGCCUCCACUUUAAUAGUAGGACACUGGGAUGGAAGUAUGUCACUGGUAGAUAGACGGACACCUGGAACUUCUUAUGAGAAAUUUAUCAAUUCUUCUUUGAGAAAAAUAAGAACUGUUCAUGUCCACCCGGUACAUAGACAGUAUUUUAUCACUGCAGGAUUGAGGGAUAUUCAUAUUUAUGAUGCAAGGCAUCUGAAUCCCAGGGGAAGCCAGCCUUUGAUUUCUGUGACUGAACACACAAAGAGCAUCGCAUCUGCUUAUUUUUCACCUCUUACUGGUAACAGAGUAGUGACCACAUGUGCUGAUUGUAAACUGAGAAUCUUUGACAGCAGCUGUUUAUCCUCUCAGAUUCCUCUCCUCACCACUAUCAGAUCCCUUUGUGGAUGACCAAUUCAAGAUGAAGUAUUCACACUUCUUGGAGGAAAGAAGCGCACUCUUGCAAUUCUACUGAGGGGGUGAGCAGAGAAAGCAUAUGGAAAUACAGAGGGAACCAGCUGUGAAGGAGAGAAGAGUUCCAGCAUCGGAUGCCAUUUCUGGGCCUCCCUGGCAAGGCCGCCUUCCAAAGUAGAGUGCCAGAGUUCUGAGCCAUGUUUCUGGCAUACCAGCGGGCACAAGCAAAUGCACGGGUGUGGAGACAGAGGCUAUUGGUAGCAGCUCUAAGAAGUACUGACAGGUAGAAUUUCAUAGAUGGUGGUUCCAAAAAGAAGCAUGAAUGAUGAAUGAAGAUGGAGAAGGAGGCAAGGGAACAAGAAAGUCGAAUCACUGACAGAGCGACUCAGAAAGGCAGCGAGAGAACUGAGGAGAAACAUCACGACCGGGGGAAAGCACAGCUGCACAUCAUGUCUGACAGAGAGCACAGAGUGUUGGAAAAGUUUUAAGUUUUGAUCAAUUCAAUUUUCCUUGUUACUGAGGCAGAGGCAGCUAGAAUACAUGAAAAGUAAGAGAUAACUCAAACUCUACCACAUUUUAAACACCCCUAGUACUAAAAAUCUUUUACCCCAGCUGGUAGCAAAAGCUAAGAAGUGGCCAAGCUGACGGUUUUUAAAUAGCUAUCCUUGGGCUUAAUUCUCCCAUGGGUGGAGACGCCAGAUAUGAGGGGUGGGGAAGAAAGAAGAAAGAAAGCUAAUACUGAGGGCUAACUAUGCAUCAGGCACUGUGUUAAGCAUUUCACAUGUAUUCUUUAAUUUUCACAGCAACUUAUAAAAUAGGUACUAUGAUAAUAGUUUUCUCAUCCAUAAACUGAGUUUUCCCAUCUGUUACAUGAGUUUAUUAUAGUCAUUUAACACAGAGAAGGUAGGCAACUUGCUUAUUAUCACACAGUUAACUGACUGAGCUGGGAACCGGACGCAGGCAGUUUAACUAUAGACUCUGAAUACAUAAUAGCUGUGCCAUAUGGCAUUUUCUAAAAUAACCAAAUACAACCAAGUUGACAGGAUAAAAGGAGUUGAAAGUGUGUUGGCCUCUAAUACCUGGCUGCUGCCUGCAAAUUUGUGGUAGAAGUCCUGAGUCCUCUUUGGUGUUCAUCUCUGACACCCAUCAUUAUUUUUAGGUAAGGGGAUAAAGAUCUACUUGAAGCUAUCCUUUCUUCUAAAUUCAAAUACAAAUAAGUUAAAGAAUGAAAAAUGUUUGAAUUUUUGACACAUUCACUUCAUUAUAUUAAAAUUUCUACUGUAUGUCAAUUCGUUCCCGAGGGAAACAUUUCAGCAAUUUGGUGAUUAAAUCAUGUAGCAGUGAUGAACCUAACUUCUAAAGCA